UACGAAGGGUGCAAGCGUUACUCGGAAUUACUGGGCGUAAAGCGUGCGUAGGUGGUUUGUUAAGUCUGAUGUGAAAGCCCUGGGCUCAACCUGGGAAUUGCAUUGGAUACUGGCAGGCUAGAGUGCGGUAGAGGGUAGUGGAAUUCCCGGUGUAGCAGUGAAAUGCGUAGAGAUCGGGAGGAACAUCUGUGGCGAAGGCGACUACCUGGACCAGCACUGACACUGAGGCACGAAAGCGUGGGGAGCAAACAGGA
rnacentral:rRNA from 1 species